UACAGAGGGUGCGAGCGUUGUCCGGAAUCACUGGGCGUAAAGGGUGCGUAGGCGGUCGAGUAAGUCUGACGUGAAAUCUCCGGGCCUAACCCGGAAACUGCGUUGGAAACUACUUGGCUAGAGGAAUGGAGGGGAGACUGGAAUACUUGGUGUAGCAGUGAAAUGCGUAGAUAUCAAGUGGAACACCAGUGGCGAAGGCGAGUCUCUGGACAUUUCCUGACGCUGAGGCACGAAAGCCAGGGGAGCAAACGGG
rnacentral:rRNA from 1 species